rnacentral:lncRNA from 1 species
CUAUUUAGCUCAAACCUGAUAGGUAUUGACCUGUGUUACCAAGAUUGCAAGUUCAGAUACAGAGCUCAUCUCAGAACAAUUCAGAAAGUAUCUCAAGCUGAUAGUCCAAGUGCCUAAUUCGUACAUGCCUAAAUCAUUCUCUCAGUAUAAGAAGAACCUACAAUAUAUAUUCUCAACGUGUGCCAUUGCUUGUAGGCAUAAAUUCUAUAAUAAGUUUAAUGCCUCAAUUGCUACAGAUAAGAAAGAUCUAGUAAAUUUUUGGUAGAAUAUUAUUUUCUAGUCGUUGAAAUCAAUUAUAUUAAAGGUUUUGUAUAACUUAAUAUGCUUUAAUCCUAUGGCUCGAAAAAGAUACAGCAACAUCACAAUGUUUUCAAACUCAAAAUUGCAUUUUUGUAUGGAGAAACGUUUGAAGCAACCUAAAUGAAAAAGAGCUGUUACAAGUGUUUUGUGUGACAUAUUGGUGAUGUAAAUGGUUGUUGUCGUUAUUCUAGAUCAAUCAGUUGUAAUAGAUGUAAGCAUAAUACAAAGUAUAAAUAUGUUUAGCUUUUUUGGAGCAAACCUUUUGCUGCCUCCUUAUCUUCAAUCUUUUGGAGUGCUCUUUUAUAUUCUGCAUGCCUAUAAUGGAAACACAAUCUUUUAUUACAGAAAAGUGGCAUAAAGGGUGUAGGGUGUAGAAUAUAUUGAUAUGUAAUGUUGCUGCUUUAUGCUACUCAGUCAGGACCUUGCAUAGUCAGUACUACUUCACUUUGGGAAAACAAAGUCUAUUCAAUUUCUACUCUCGAUUUUACCUCAUAUAAAAUCA